rnacentral:rRNA from 1 species
AUGGAGGCGGAACAGGGGUUGACUGUCAGAAAGCUACAGCCAUGGGUGCGAGGAGAGAAGGAGAGGCCAGUCUCUCGCGAGUCCAACGGGGACGGAAGAGGUCGGCGGUGGCGAUUACUCUAUGGGAGGAAGGGGAUCGGGAGCGAGGGAUUCGGGGAGUGGGGGUGGAACGUAUCAGUUCUGAUUUUUUUUCUGUCGUGCGGGGAUGCUGCGAACGUGGACCAUCGCCAUCGCCAGGGAGGUGGAGGUAGUGAAGGCGAGGUCGAACCAUCGAUCCAGGUUAGAUACUUGAAAAUCCUAUGUGUGAAUCUGUUUCGGAAAGCUGUACCAUUCUCCACAACACAAAGUCAAAGCGGGCAUGUUUCUUCUGUCUUUAAACUUGUGCACUAUGAGCUGGUGUUGCAAUGCUUGAAGAAGUUGACUGGUGUUGUUGUGCAAGAUAUACCUUAUAGAACAAGCCGUGCUGUUCAAAAUGCUGGUACAAAUUGUUCUUCUGAUAAAGAAGUUGACGAGCUUCUCAUGAAGCUGCCACCUUGUUGCUUAAAGGACGAGGGCCCUCUAUUAAUAGUGUGUCCAGCUCUUCUGCGUUAUACUUGGGCGGAGGAAUUGGAACGCUGGGAUCCUUCAUUUCUUCCAAAAGAUAUUCAUCUUGGUGCUGAUUCAGAGUUUCAUUAUUCAAGAGUUAAUUUUACUGAUGUCAAACCUGUAAAAACAGUUGCAGGACAAAAUUGCAUUCCAUAUGAACAAUCAUAUAGAUGGACCAGAUCACUCAAACAAAAAAAGAUAGACUUGACGCCGCUGCCGUGGUCGUCUUCGAUGCCGCCGCCGUCCUCCUCUUCGUCGUCCAUGGUGAGGUCGAUGUACGGUGGUGGCUUUCAUAGGUGGGCAGGCGGCCCCUGCAGCGGCUGCAAGGCCGGAGGCGCCUGCAACACCUCUUCCAGUGGCGGGAACAGCGCCCACCCACACGGGCGGCACGGACACGUGUUCCGGCGAUCAUGGCACCAUGUCCGUCCACGUCCAGGAUUGGCCCACCAAUGCCAGGCCUCCUCCUUGACCUACAACUCCGGGGGGAUGGCGACGUCGCAUGCGGCGGAGAGGGCCAGCAUCUCGUCAAGGCCCUCCCAUUGGGCGCGUCCAUGUCUUGGCCUCUUUUUGAUGUCUGCGUUAUCUUCCCGCAGUAGCACUGAAUCGAAUGGGAAAUUCCGGCAACUUUGCCGGUGUCUGGUAAGCACCGGAGGGAUGGUCUGCAUGGCACACAAAACACAGUGCAACGAGGGGCUCCAUAUCAUCAGGUCGAGGGCUAAAGUCAGCAUGGAUAGGGCUCGUCAUGCGGCGCCGUUCUCCCGACCUCCUUCCUAUCACAGCGUGAUGGGAAUCACUGGCUUACAAGGCUGUAACUCUGCUCAAACAUUUUGCCAAGGAGGAGUAGCAGCCACGCCUGGAAGGCGUGGAGCAGGGGGCGGUGAAGGUCCUGAUCAGGUGCUCUGGUCGCGCAAGGGGAGUGCGGCGCACAACCUCCGCCUGCUGAAGACGAUGUGGCAGUGCUGCGUGGGCCUUGACGGCAGGCGCAACGACCAGCUGGACUACGGCAACAGGGAAUUCUCCAUCGACGAGACGCCAGCGUUCCCGGUUCUGCAUUGCGCCCUCCGUCCCGGACACCCCCGGUGUCUACAACGACGACCACUACUUCUUCUGCGAUGCCCGUCAAAGGGAUGUGGACUAUUACCUAAAAUUGGAUUCAGCGAGUUAAGUACCUGGUACUACACGUAUGUACCACCCUCCUUCUACCAGUAUUUACUAUUUUUCCUGAACAUCUUUGGUUCCCUUGCUGCAACCCCAAUGCCCUGCUCCUGGGCACUACUCACAAUGUCUUUAAAUAUAGGGCACUGCUACGCGCUGGCGCGCCGGCCAAAAAUUUCGGCCGGUCGCACCGCGCAUGCAGUCCGUGAUCUCCCCAGAACCCAGCUAGCUCGCCGGCCACCCUGGCCCGCUUGCCUCGCCUGCCGGUUGACGCCAUCGUCACCGGUGGUCGGCUGGUCGCCCUCCUCUAGCCAAAAAUACAUGGUUCCAACAAACAAGAAGCAUGUUUCCAGCAAAAACAAUCAUCCCGACCUCCUCGUCUCCGGCUCGCCGGCGUCGUCUUGCACCGCCAUGUCCAGCAACAAAAAACUUCAAUACUUGGUUGAAGCAAAAAGCAUAAUCACCUGCUUGUUGCAGCUUCCCAGCCGGUCGGUUCCAGCAUCUCCGACCGAGGUCUCCAUGCGCAGUAUCACCUCCAGCUCGCCAUGUCGUGCGUCUCCAUGCGUAGCCGGCCGCCCCACAUCGAAGCACAUCACCUAUGUCGCCGCCGCCUCACAGCCCGACGACCUCCCAAACAUCCUUGGCUUCACCUUCAGGGUGAUCCAGAUGGUCCUCUACGUGUUCUACAUGAACAAGACGCCGGUGGCAAGCGAGGUCAAGGAGGGGAAAGAGGCAUGGAAGGCGCCCGCAGAGGACCACGUCGUCGUGAUCAACGUCGGCAAGACCGACAAUAGCUCGUGCGCCGAGGUGCGUCCGGUCACCGAGAUGGCCAGCGCCGUCGACGUCCCCAGGAGAUGCGCUGCUGAGGCGGCGGCGGCGCCCGGGGUGGACUUUGCCCGUUCUGUCGACGUGGUCUAG